GCACCCAUGGCUUAACUGGAUAUAGCAUCGCCCUCCGAAGGCGGGGAUUGCAGGUUCGAAUCCUGCUGGGUGCGCCA
rnacentral:tRNA from 1 species